GAUGAAGAACGUAGCGAAAUGCGAUAAGUAAUGUGAAUUGCAGAAUUCAGUGAAUCAUCGAAUCUUUGAACGCACAUUGCGCCCGCCAGUAUUCUGGCGGGCAUGCCUGUUCGAGCGUCAUUACAACCCUCAGGCCCCCGGGCCUGGCGUUGGGGAUCGGCGGAGCCCCCCGUGGGCACACGCCGUCCCCCAAAUGCAGUGGCGGUCCCGCCGCAGCUUCCAUCGCGUAGUAGCUAACACCUCGCGACUGGAGAGCGGCGCGGCCAUGCCGUAAAACACCCAACUCUUCUGAAGUUGACCUCGAAUCAGGUAGGAAUACCCGCUGAACUUAAGCAUAUCAAUAAGCGGAGGA
rnacentral:misc_RNA from 1 species